UACGAAGGGGGCUAGCGUUGUUCGGAAUUACUGGGCGUAAAGCGUGCGCAGGCGGCUGCUCAAGUCAGGGGUGAAAGCCCAGAGCUCAACUCUGGAAUUGCCUUUGAGACUGAGUGGCUUGAGUACGGGAGAGGUGAGUGGAAUUCCCAGUGUAGAGGUGAAAUUCGUAGAUAUUGGGAAGAACACCGGUGGCGAAGGCGGCGAUCUGGGUCGAUACUGACGCUGAGGUGCGAAAGCGUGGGGAGCAAACAGG
rnacentral:rRNA from 1 species